UCCACUCCCCCUGAGCGCCUCUUCCCUCCCCCGCGUUCCGCUUAUAAACUGCCCCCGACCCUUGCCCACUCGCCCCGGCUCACGCCACGCCGCCUCGCACCUCUCUUCCUCCCCAACCUCGCCGUAGUCCGGCGGGUUUUGAAUGCAGCAGCGCGGCCGCUCCUACAACCGCCGGGACCGGAGCUUCUCCCGAGCCCGCCUCGCCGUCGAGGGGUAUUGACCUCGCAACGCCCUCGCGUUAACACUAAGCUGAACUUGAUUCCGACGAACGAUCGCGCGGGCUCGCCCUUGAUGGAUGCCGCCGCCGCUGCGAACGGGGGGCCGGAGGCGGAGGAGAGGAAGGCGCAGAGGAGCUACUGGGAGGAGCACUCCAGGGACCUCACCCUCGAGGGCAUGCUGCUCGACUCCCGCGCCGCCGAGCUCGACAAGGAGGAGCGCCCAGAGGUACUGUCUUUACUCCCUUCAUAUGAAGGGAAAUCUGUGAUGGAACUGGGCGCUGGAAUAGGUCGCUUUACAGGUGAAAUGGCUAAAACAGCUGGGCAUGUUCUUGCACUGGAUUUCAUUGAAAGUGUGAUUAAGAAGAAUGAAAGCAUAAAUGAUCACUACAAGAACACAUCAUUUAUGUGUUCUGAUGUUACAUCCCCAGACCUCAUGAUUGAAGCGAACUCCAUUGAUCUGAUAUUUUCAAACUGGUUGCUGAUGUAUCUUUCAGAUGAGGAGAUUGACAAGCUAGUAGAAAGAAUGGUAAAAUGGCUGAAGGUUGGUGGCUACAUCUUCUUUAGGGAAUCUUGCUUCCAUCAAUCUGGAGAUUUAGAAAGGAAAGUGAACCCGACACACUAUCGAGAACCAAGGUUUUAUACCAAGGUUUUUAAAGAGUGUCGAGCCUUUAAUCAAGAUGGCACUUCUUUCAAACUUUCUCUGGUUACUUUCAAGUGCAUUGGAGCUUAUGUAGACAUCAAGAAAGAUCAAAACCAGAUAUGUUGGCUAUGGAAAAAAGUAAAUUCAUCAGAAGAUGGGGGCUUUCAAAGUUUUUUGGACAACGUGCAGUACAAAGCCAGUGGAAUUUUACGCUAUGAACGUAUAUUUGGAGAUGGUUACGUGAGCACUGGUGGAGUUGAGACUACAAAAGAAUUUGUGGAUAAAUUGGAUCUUAAACCCGGCCAGAAGGUGCUUGAUGUUGGAUGUGGAAUUGGGGGAGGCGACUUUUAUAUGGCUGAAGAGUAUGAUACUCAUGUUGUUGGCAUUGAUCUUUCCAUUAACAUGAUACUAUUUGCCCUUGAGCGUGCUGUUGGGCGCAAGUGCUCCGUGGAGUUUGAAGUUGCUGAUUGCACCACGAAGACAUACCCAGACCAUACAUUUGAUGUCAUCUACAGCCGUGAUACUAUCCUUCAUAUACAGGAUAAACCCUCCUUGUUCAAAAGUUUCUUCAAAUGGCUAAAGCCUGGGGGCAAGGUCCUAAUCAGUGACUACUGCAAGAGCCCUGGGAAACCAUCAGAAGAGUUUGCUGCAUACAUUAAGCAGAGAGGUUACGAUCUCCAUGAUGUGGAGGCAUAUGGACAGAUGCUCAAGAAUGCUGGUUUCAGUCAUGUCAUAUCUGAAGACCGAACUGAUCAGUUCCUCGGGAUUUUACAGAAGGAGCUGGAUAAAUUUGAAAAGAACAAAGACGAUUUCCUUUCCGACUUCAGCCAGGGGGACUAUGACGAUAUCGUGAACGGAUGGAAGGCAAAACUGCAGAGGAGCUCUGCUGGUGAGCAGAGGUGGGGCCUGUUCAUUGCGAGCAAGUGAUGUUGGCCCAGAGGCCCGUGUGGGCUUUAUUACAAAUAAAGUGGCUUUCACCAGAAUAAAAUAAAUAAAGCAGAAAAGGGACUGGUCCAAUGUCACGGUCCUGUGAAGUCUAAUAAAGCUAUCAGCAAUUUGCAUGCUUGGGCAGCGAGAUGCGCUGCUAUCAGUCGAUCUCCGAACAAGGGUGUGAGAUCACCUGAGCAAAUUGUUGUAAGCAAAGAUACAGGCAGAUUCCCUCGUAAAAGCUUGCUUGAUCCCUUGUUUCUGCUACCUCUGCUCUGCAGUAAGUCCUGCUAUAAAACUCGAUAGGAAAAUGAAACCCUGCGGGCAGGCGGCAGAUACCGAGGGGGUGGAUCCAAA